UACAGAGGAUGCAAGCGUUAUCCGGAAUGAUUGGGCGUAAAGCGUCUGUAGGUGGCUUUUUAAGUCCGCCGUCAAAUCCCAGGGCUCAACUCUGGACAGGCGGUGGAAACUACCAAGCUGGAGUACGGUAGGGGCAGAGGGAAUUUCCGGUGGAGCGGUGAAAUGCGUAGAUAUGCGGAGGAACACCGAUGGCGAAGGCAAUCCCCUGGACCUGUACUGACGCUCAUGCACGAAAGCGUGGGGAGCAAACAGG
rnacentral:rRNA from 1 species